rnacentral:other from 2 species
AGCCCCCUGCGCUGUUCGAGCUUCUGGCCGACGUCCCUGAGCCGAUGCUUUUUUACCCGGGGGUUCUGGUUGAUGCGGGAGUGCAUGUCCGCCUGACGGAAAGCCCGAUGCAUCACAGGAGCCACCACCUUGAACCUUGGGUUCAAGGGCUACCGCCAGUCACGGCAGAACGGGGGGCGC